CCCGAGAGCUGUAAGUAGCGGAGCUGGUGAGAACCAUUCAAAGACCAAUAACAGUGUUUCUGUGUCCUAGCGAUCACCUGUGGAGAGAGAAAGGAAAACGAGAGAGGGUCAGUAAAGAGCCGACUGUGAACGUGAUACUUACCCCGAGAGCUGUAAGCAGCGGAGCUGGUGAGAACCAUUCAAAGACCAAUAACAGUGUUUCUGUGUCCUAGCGAUCACCUGUGGAGAGAGAAAGGAAAACGAGAGAGAGUCAGUAAAGAGCCGACUGUGAACGUGAUACUUACCCCGAGAGCUGUAAGCAGCGGAGCUGGUGAGAACCAUUCAAAGACCAAUAACAGUGUUUCUGUGUCCUAGCGAUCACCUGUGGAGAGAGAAAGGAAAACGAGAGAGAGUCAGUAAAGAGCCGACUGUGAACGUGAUACUUACCCCGAGAGCUGUAAGCAGCGGAGCUGGUGAGAACCAUUCAAAGACCAAUAACAGUGUUUCUGUGUCCUAGCGACCACCUGUGGAGAGAGAAAGGAAGACGAGAGAGAGUCAGUAAAGAGCCGACUGCGAACGUGAAACUUACCCCGAGAGCUGUAAGCAGCGGAGCUGGUGAGAACCAUUCAAAGACCAAUAACAGUGUUUCUGUGUCCUAGCGAUCACCUGUGGAGAGAGAGAAGAAGACAAGAUGGCCGCCUGUGGAAAGAGAAGAAGGCGAGAGUAAGCCAUUGGGCACGGACAGUGGAGAAACCCCUAACAGCCACACCAGAAGUUGUCUGCCUCCAGGAAGAGAAGAAGGAGGGCGCCACGGCCAGCAGGGUCCAGGCGGGAGCCUGACGUUUCCUUUUUCCCCCGUUGAUGGUGGUUGGCACCCCCGUUUUCCCAUCCCUGUCACCCGUGGCUGUAGUCUCCCUGGAGGGAGUAGAAGAAGCCAUUAGUUUUAAAAUUCCCCUUUCCCCGAAAUUUCCCCCCCAUCCUUUUAAGUAUUUAAGAUUUCAAUAAAGCUUGUUUUAAAUUUUA